rnacentral:rRNA from 1 species
CKGAAAUCAGGCGGGAUUACCCGCUGAACUUAAGCAUAUCAAUAAGCGGAGGAAA